AAGUCGAACGCCUGUAGCAAUACAGGAGUGGCGCACGGGUGAGUAACGCGUGGGAACCUGCCCAGUGGUGGGGGAUAACUGCGGGAAACUGCAGCUAAUACCCCAUACGCCCUACGGGGGAAAGUUUUUCGCCAUUGGAGGGGCCCGCGUCGGAUUAGCUAGUUGGUGAGGUAAGAGCUUACCAAGGCAACGAUCCGUAGCUGGUCUGAGAGGAUGAUCAGCCACACUGGGACUGAGACACGGCCCCGACUCCUACGGGAGGCAGCAGUGGGGAAUUUUC
rnacentral:rRNA from 1 species